rnacentral:misc_RNA from 1 species
AGAUGGAUCAUUCAUGAAUUCUAAUAUAUUUAUUUGGUAUUUGCCGCAAUAAGCGAAAUUGAAAGAUUAUGGUUGAUUUUGUAUGGUAAAAGAAAUAAGAGAUUAAUGGUUGAACUCCUAUGGCAGGGGAACUGAGAAGUUAGACGUGUAACCAGUGAAAUAAGUGGUUAUUGGUUUGGCUUAUAUAAUGAAUAGGUUGAUUUCAUGUUAUAAGUGAAUUAAGAGAUUAUGGUUGACUCCAUGUGGCAAAUGAAAUAAGAGAUUAUUGUUGACGCCAUGUGACAAUGAAAUAAGAGAUUAUGGUUGAUUCCGCGUAGAAAAAGAAAGAAGAGAUUAUGGUUAGGUUUCAUGUAAAAAUGAAUUUAUUAUAUUUGGUUGUUCCAUAUUGAGCAAAUAGAGAUGAUUCUAUUACAUCUUUCAGCGAUGGAUGUCUCGGUUCUCGUAACGAUGAAGAAUGUAGCUAGCUGCGAAAUGCAGUGUGACAUGCAAACUUCUGUGAAUCAUUAGAUUUUUGAACGCAAAAGGUACUUUUAAAUUCUAGAAGUAUGUUUGUCUCAGUGCUUUAUAUGUUUGUUGUCCUAAUUGGUGGACAACGUGGAUAAUGGCUGUAAUUAUGGUCACUUUAAACUAAUGGUACAGGUUUUAGGUAACAUUUUAGAAACUAUAUCCAAAAGUACAUUGUUAUAUGCCUGAGCUUGAACAAGUAUACCCGUUGAAUUUAAGCAUAUUAUUAGGCGGAGGAAAAAAAACUAACCAGGAUUUCCUUAGUAACGGCGAGUGAACAGGAAACUGCUCAAACUGAAAAUCGACAGUUUACUGUCGAAUUGUAGUCUCAUGAAAUGCAGCCUGUAAAUAUUUUGACAUAAGUCUCUUGGAAAAGGGUACAAUAGAGGGUGAAAGUCCCGUCUUUAUUCAAAUAAUUUACUUUCGGUGCAUUUUCAAAGAGUCGCGUUCUUUGAGAUUGGAGCGCUAAGUGGGUGAUAAACUUCAUCUAAAGCUAAAUAUUAACGAGAUUCCCAUAGCGCGCAAGUACCGUGAGGGAAAGGUGAAAAGAACUUUGAAAAGAGAGUUAAAAGGUACUGAAAUUGCUGAAAGGGAAGUGGAGGGUUUUAGCGGUUUAGCUAAAUUUCCUGUAUGUUCGGGGUAAAUUUUUUAUCCAUGAGUAUAUGAUGGAGAUUCGCGGUGACGCUGGAGGUGAUUAUUUAGACUGGUUACAGUAUUGAUAUGUUCUAUUUUAGGGCUAUAUCUUUAUUGGUUUCAGCCUGAGUAAUUUAUGUAUCUCUAACUCAACAAUUUUCUGUUGAAUUAUACUCUUCCAGGAAUGUUAAUUCCCUCCUCCCCGUCUUGAAUCACGGACCAAGGAGUCUAUUUUAUGUGCGAGUACAAGGGUUUAGAACCUAGGUGCGAAAUGAAAGUAACAGUUAGGAUGGUUUUACCUGCACUGACAUUCGGCUAUUGAAUCGAAGUUGAGCACAUAGAAUAGGACCCGAAAGAUGGUGAACUAUGCCUGAGUAGGGUGAAGCUAGAGGAACUCUGGUGGAAGCUCGUAGCGAUACUGACGUGCAAAUCGUUCGUCAAACUUUGGUAUAGGGGCGAAAGACCAAUCGAACCAUCUAGUAGCUGGUUCCUUC